AGCAGCCGCGGUAAUUCCAGCUCCAAUAGCGUAUAUUAAAGUUGUUGCAGUUAAAAGCUCGUAGUUGAAUUUCGGGAUUGACGUGAUGGUCGUGCCUUACGGGGUAUGAACUGUUGCUGUUGAUUUCUCACCUUCUGGAGAAACUUGAUGUCCUUAAUUGGGUGUCUUGCGGAUCCAGGACCUUUACCUUGAAAAAUUGAGUGUUUAAAGCAGGCAUUUUGCUCGAAUACAUUAGCAUGGAAUAAUAGAAUAGGACGGCAUGGUUCUAUUUUGUUGGUUUCUAGGAUCACCGUAAUGAUUAAUAGGGAUAGUUGGGGGCAUUAGUAUUCAAUUGUCAGAGGUGAAAUUCUUGGAUUUAUUGAAGACUAACUACUGCGAAAGCAUUUGCCAAGGAUGUUUUCAUUAAUCAAGAACGAAAGUUAGGGGAUCGAAGACGAUCAGAUACCGUCGUAGUCUUAACCAUAAACUAUGCCGACUAGGAAUCAGACGAUGUUAAUUUUUAAUGUACUUCGUUU
rnacentral:misc_RNA from 1 species